rnacentral:misc_RNA from 1 species
UACGGAGGGUGCUAGCGUUAUCCGGAAUCACUGGGCGUAAAGGGCGCGUAGGCGGUUUGUUAAGUCUGAUGUUAAAGACUGGGGCUCAACCCCAGAUACAGCGUUGGAUACUGGCAAGCUUGACGGAUGGAGAGGCGAGUGGAAUUACCAGUGUAGCGGUGGAAUGCGUAGAUACUGGUAGGAACACCUAUUGCGAAGGCAGCUCGCUGGACAUAUCGUGACGCUGAGGCGCGAAAGUGUGGGGAGCAAACCGG